CGUAUAAAUCUUUCGCCUUUUACUAAAGAUUUCCG
rnacentral:snRNA from 1 species